CCGCUAGUCAACGCGAUCGUGGCCACU
rnacentral:piRNA from 1 species